rfam:Synechococcus sp. PCC 7002, complete genome.
GCGGGUGUAGUUUAGUGGUAAAACCUCAGCCUUCCAAGCUGAUGAUAGGGGUUCGAUUCCCCUCACCCGCU